UGUCGGUUGUGCAACAGCGGAAUAACGGUACACCACAACAAACCUCUAAGCGAAAGAGAGAAAGUGUGUGCGGGUGUUUAAUUAAAGUAAGCGGAUCCACGCCAAAUUGAAUAACACAAGACAAUAAAAGAAACGUUCAAGUGGAAGGAGAUGAUGAAGUGAAAAUAAGAAAAUCGGCAGAUAACUAAUAACAAGCAAACGGAAGGCAUCAAAGGAAAAGCGAGAAAAGCAGUCGACUCUUUGACUUUGAAGAGGGCCAAGAAAAGCCAGAGUCAUGGUUUGAACUUUGGGUAAAGGAGUUGCAAAUGCAAACACAACAAUGAGAUGGUGGCACAAUGCUCUGAGGCGCAAGAGGAAGAA